AUCGCUUCUCGGCCUUUUGGCUAAGAUCAAGUGUAGAAUUAACCAGUCUUCUAUCUCUCUCUUUGUCAGCUGGAGCAGUGGGGGUCUCCCCAGCCUGUGGCCCGGGGAUUUAGACUGGCUGUUCCCCCUGCCAGGCAGAGCUUCC
rnacentral:snRNA from 1 species